rnacentral:rRNA from 1 species
AGUGAACGCUGGCGGUAGGCCUAACACAUGCAAGUCGAACGGCAGCACAGUAAGAGCUUGCUCUUACGGGUGGCGAGUGGCGGACGGGUGAGGAAUACAUCGGAAUCUACUUUUUCGUGGGGGAUAACGUAGGGAAACUUACGCUAAUACCGCAUCCGACCUACGGGUGAAAGCAGGGGAUCUUCGGACCUUGCGCGAUUGAAUGAGCCGAUGUCGGAUUAGCUAGUUGGCGGGGUAAAGGCCCACCAAGGCGACGAUCCGUAGCUGGUCUGAGAGGAUGAUCAGCCACACUGGAACUGAGACACGGUCCAGACUCCUACGGGAGGCAGCAGUGGGGAAUAUUGGACAAUGGGCGCAAGCCUGAUCCAGCCAUACCGCGUGGGUGAAGAAGGCCUUCGGGUUGUAAAGCCCUUUUGUUGGGAAAGAAAAGCGGCAGGUUAAUACCCCGCUGUUCUGACGGUACCCAAAGAAUAAGCACCGGCUAACUUCGUG